rfam:Gossypium raimondii Chr03_contig_13, whole genome shotgun sequence.
UAUUUAAAAUUUCAUCUAUUUGUACUGUUAAAAAUUGGCAUGGCUAGCAGAAUAAUCAGACAGUGAGAUAUGGCAUCCACAUGUAUCUUAUGUGGAUAUACAGAGACCAGCUUUUAACCAUAAAAAUGGAUGAAACUUUUAACA